GGAGAUAGCUGGUUCUCUCCGAAAUAGCUUUAGGGCUAGCCUCAAGUGAUGAUUAUUGGAGGUAGAGCACUGUUUGGACGAGGGGCCCCUCUCGGGUUACCGAAUUCAGACAAACUCCGAAUGCCAAUUAAUUUAACUUGGGAGUCAGAACAUGGGUGAUAAGGUCCGUGUUCGAAAGGGAAACAGCCCAGACCACCAGCUAAGGUCCCAAAAUAUAUGUUAAGUGGAAAAGGAUGUGGCGUUGCCCAGACAACUAGGAUGUUGGCUUAGAAGCAGCCAUCAUUUAAAGAGUGCGUAAUAGCUCACUAGUCGAGUGACACUGCGCCGAAAAUGUACCGGGGCUAAACAUAUUACCGAAGCUGUGGAUUGUCCUUUGGACAAUGGUAGGAGAGCGUUCUAAGGGCGUUGAAGCAUGAUCGUAAGGACAUGUGGAGCGCUUAGAAGUGAGAAUGCCGGUGUGAGUAGCGAAAGACGGGUGAGAAUCCCGUCCACCGAUUGACUAAGGUUUCCAGAGGAAGGCUCGUCCGCUCUGGGUUAGUCGGGUCCUAAGCUGAGGCCGACAGGCGUAGGCGAUGGAUAACAGGUUGAUAUUCCUGUACCACCUAUAAUCGUUUUAAUCGAUGGGGGGACGCAGUAGGAUAGGCGAAGCGUGCGAUUGGAUUGCACGUCUAAGCAGUAAGGCUGAGUAUUAGGCAAAUCCGGUACUCGUUAAGGCUGAGCUGUGAUGGGGAGAAGACAUUGAGUCUUCGAGUCGUUGAUUUCACACUGCCGAGAAAAGCCUCUAGAUAGAAAAUAGGUGCCCGUACCGCAAACCGACACAGGUAGUCAAGAUGAGAAUUCUAAGGUGAGCGAGCGAACUCUCGUUAAGGAACUCGGCAAAAUGACCCCGUAACUUCGGGAGAAGGGGUGCUCUUUAGGGUUAACGCCCAGAAGAGCCGCAGUGAAUAGGCCCAAGCGACUGUUUAUCAAAAACACAGGUCUCUGCUAAACCGUAAGGUGAUGUAUAGGGGCUGACGCCUGCCCGGUGCUGGAAGGUUAAGAGGAGUGGUUAGCUUCUGCGAAGCUACGAAUCGAAGCCCCAGUAAACGGCGGCCGUAACUAUAACGGUCCUAAGGUAGCGAAAUUCCUUGUCGGGUAAGUUCCGACCCGCACGAAAGGCGUAACGAUUUGGGCACUGUCUCAACGAGAGACUCGGUGAAAUCAUAGUACCUGUGAAGAUGCAGGUUACCCGCGACAGGACGGAAAGACCCCGUGGAGCUUUACUGUAGCCUGAUAUUGAAAUUCGGCACAGCUUGUACAGGAUAGGUAGGAGCCUUUGAAACGUGAGCGCUAGCUUACGUGGAGGCGCUGGUGGGAUACUACCCUAGCUGUGUUGGCUUUCUAACCCGCACCACUUAUCGUGGUGGGAGACAGUGUCA
rnacentral:rRNA from 1 species